GUGAGCGGUGUUAGUCCUUGAUAUCUAUUAGAAUUGUAUUUUUGCAGAAUUCUAUUCUAUUUUUUUUUCUUAUCUAUUUUUGCAUAUGUGAGAUGGUUAACGAACAUCUUAUUUCAGAUUUUAUUUACACCGGCCUCUGGCAUCAGGAUAACAGAUAUGUAAGAAUAUGAAUAAUCAUUAUCAUCAGGUCAUGUGUUUUCUGUAUCGGUGUUUUUUAUUUUAUUUUAAUUUUUAUUAUGCUUAUGGAGUGACCAACAUUUGCACAUUUUAGGUGUUUUAAUAACACUUCAGUUCAUGGAGCUUCUCUAAUAAAGAGAUGAUAAAGUGAAAUAAGUUUCCAUCAGGAUGGCAAAAAGUUUUCGCAGCAAGCGGAGGAGAAAGAUGAGGGCAGAGAAAAGAAAGAAAUCCGGUCUGGAUGAACCAAAGGCAUAUAAAGAAGGUGAAAGCCAAACGUAUGGCUACAAAAGGAAAACCUAAGAUAAAGAAGGGACUGGCCUGGUAGAUGAACUGAUCUGCUUGUGCACGGACAUUACGCCUGACAGCUCUACAGGAGCUUAGCUGUGCAUCGUUUACAUGUGCAUUUUGUACAUUUCUACAGACUGUUUAUGCAAAAAUGUAAAUCACCCGCAUUGUACUACACAACUGACUCUUCCAGUGAAAUACACAUAUUUCCUCUACUUCAAUCUCUCACUCUGUAGGUCUGCUUUACUAUGAAGUAAAAAUCCAAUAUACCUUU